rnacentral:rRNA from 1 species
GCCCAGCCGUAAACUUUUACUUACACUCAAUCGCCAGGGAACUACGAGCUAAGCUUAAAACCCAAAGGACUUGACGGUACCCCAUAUCCCCCUAGAGGAGCCUGUCCUAUAAUCGAUAACCCACGUUAAACCUCACCAUUUUUAGUUAAUCAGCCUGUAUACCUCCGUCGUCAGCUUACCACGUGAGCGUUAAUUAGUGAGCCUAAUGUUUUUCACCAAUACGUCAGGUCAAGGUGCAGCAAAUGAAAUGGGAAGAGAUGGGCUACACUCUCUAUUUUAGAAAAAACGAAAAACUACCUAUGAAACCUAGUUAGAAGGCGGAUUUAUACAGUAAAAAGGAAUCAGCAUGUCCCUUUUAAUCCGGCACUGGGGUGUGUACACACCGCCCGUCA